GCACUUUCAGCUCUUCAUCAUCUGCACUCAGACUUCUGCAGCCAUGGUUCUCAGUGGAGCUCUGAGAGUGGUCCUGCUCUGUCUUCUCUCUCUCUGUCUGAGAGGUGCUGAAGUUCUGGACCGUCUGAGAGGAAAUGAAGUUCCGGAAGUGAACCCUGAAAUACUCUGGCUUGCAUCAUCAAUGACCUUCACACCAGGUACAAUCCACAACAUGGACAUCAGUUUGCACUGGCCAUCAACGUUCCAGUUCAUUACUGUGAAAAUAAGGACUCUAAACCUGAUGAACGUUUUCUC